rnacentral:rRNA from 1 species
UACGUAGGUGGCAAGCUUUGUCCGGAUUUAUUGGGUUUAAAGGGUGCGUAGGCGGCCCUGUAAGUCAGUGCUGAAAUACCCCGGCUUAACCGGGGGGGUGGCAUUGAUACUGCAGGGCUUGAGUACAGAUGAGGUAGGCGGAAUUGACGGUGUAGCGGUGAAAUGCAUAGAUAUCGUCAAGAACACCGAUAGCGAAGGCAGCUUACUGGGCUGUAACUGACGCUGAUGCACGAAAGUGUGGGGAUCAAACAGG